rnacentral:rRNA from 1 species
AUUGAACGCUGGCGGCAGGCUUAACACAUGCAAGUCGAGCGGGCGAGGUUGCUUCGGUAACUGAGCUAGCGGCGGACGGGUGAGUAAUGCUUAGGAAUCUGCCUAUUAGUGGGGGACAACAUUCCGAAAGGGAUGCUAAUACCGCAUACGUCCUACGGGAGAAAGCAGGGGAUCACUUGUGACCUUGCGCUAAUAGAUGAGCCUAAGUCGGAUUAGCUAGUUGGUGGGGUAAAGGCCUACCAAGGCGACGAUCUGUAGCGGGUCUGAGAGGAUGAUCCGCCACACUGGGACUGAGACACGGCCCAGACUCCUACGGGAGGCAGCAGUGGGGAAUAUUGGACAAUGGGGGGAACCCUGAUCCAGCCAUGCCGCGUGUGUGAAGAAGGCCUUUUGGUUGUAAAGCACUUUAAGUGGGGAGGAGGCUUACCUGGUUAAUACCUGGGCUAAGUGGACGUUACCCACAGAAUAAGCACCGGCUAACUCUGUGCCAGCCGCCGCGGUAAAAC